rfam:Streptomyces sp. TSRI0107 scaffold2, whole genome shotgun sequence.
CUUGAUCGACCCCAGCCACAGCGGCUGCCCGCCCUCGCGAGCACGCCCGUACGUGUUCAGCAGCGCCUGCGCCUC